UGGUAAGAAAGCAGUAUGAAACUAAUAGAAUCUUCAUUUAUUGAAUGUAAAUUGUUUUCCCUUUUUUUUUCUUGGUCAGAUAUAAAAGCACCUGGAGGCUUUUGAAUUAUGAAGGUGAAAAUUUUCUUAAGUUAGCUGUUAGCAUUACUAAGAGAUUUUAAAGUUUUGACUCUCAUCAAGAUAUCUAAUAAAUUCACGUAGGUUCUUAGGAGGUAAAACAGUCUAUGUUCUUGAAAUUUUUGUCUUAAAAAUUCCAUAUUAGAAACUGAUACCCAGGGAAUGAAUUAAUUUGUGUAAUGUAAUACUUGUAACACAGAUUUCUGUAUGUUGCCCUGUUUUAUGUACAGUGACUGCAGUAGGUACUCUCAGAAUGAUUAAUGGGGGAAACAUUUUACAAAAAUGUCUCACCAGGUGUUUUUAUUUAUUUUUCGUAAUUACUUUUCAUAUGAGAUUUAAAACGUACCAUGUACAUGUUUAGCUUUAUGGACGGGAUCUCCCCCUCAUUUGCUUUUCUUUUUUUUUUUUUAAAACAAGUCUGCACCAGCAUCACCUGAGUAAUUUGGCAUUCAGACACCAACUUUAACCUCCUGAUUCCUGGAAGCCUAAAUAUCUUAAGAAUUAUGGAAGGAUGCUCAUAGCCCAGUUAAAUUCCUAGUUUCUUUUAGUUUAGUAAGGAUUUGUUGACUCUAGUUGGUGUUUGUGAUGCUGGGUUCACAGGUUGAUUCCAGCCCUCAAGGAGCUCACCAUCUAUUAGAGGAAACAUUUGCCCUUGUAUGUCUCACCAUGCCUUGAGUCGAAUUAUGAUAAAUGCCAUCCUGCCAGUUGAGUUCAGUUCCUGGGUUUUAAGAUGUGCCAAGAGCACUGUCACACAUUGGGUCUGCAAAAAAUGAGUAAAACAUGAUCCCUGGUCUUCAGUAGCUUACAGUCUGUACUCACAGAUGUAAACAGAUAUCACGGCGUGGUACAGGGAGUAUUAAAUGAGAGCUAUGCACGCUUGCUCUGUGGGCCUGCUGGAGAAAGGCAUAGAGCACUGCCCGAGAGUGUGAACAGAAAUGUUUUCUUUAGGAGGUGGCACGUGGGCUGGAUUUUGAAGGUUAGUUGAGAAAUAGCCCAAGCCUUGGAGGAGGGUAGAACCAAUAGCUUAUAGGAAAACUGGAGAAAAUUUCUUUAUAUCCUGAAAAGAGGGACAGAGGGAGAAAAGGGCACAUGUAUGUGGGAGGAGCUAGAUCAUUCUAAUGUUUUCAAAUCAAAGUGGGAGAGUUAGAAAGGUGGGAUUGGAGAAGGGCGCUUGGGAACACCUCGUAGAGGGGCAUUCAUUUUUGCUUUUAAGGUAGCUUCACAGUAAAUGUCAUUGUGGAGAAAAUAUUUGAGAAGGGCAUAGUUGGUGGCAGAAAGAUUGUUGCAACAGAUUGGGAGCCUGCAGUAGAACAGUUCUAUGGAGGUAGAGAGUGGUGUCAGAUUUGAGAAAUAUAGGAAGUUUGGAAAGCUGUGUGAUUGGCUGAAUGAUGGAAAACUCCAUAGAACAGAGAGAAGAGAACAGUUCUUCCUGGAGGUGGUCAGAUGUCUUCUGUAGAAGUGGUAGAGUUUCCCCAAGCAGAGCAGAAUGGGGAGUGCAUCCCAUGCCGUGGCAGUUGCGUGUCAGAGUUGUGGAGGUGAGGAGGGUUUGGCAGUGUGGGUGGAGGACAGGAGUUCUGAAGACUGUGGGAGGGGAAGGUUGUCUGGGACUCCCUUGAAAAGAGCUUCAGUGUCAUGCUCCUCUAGCUGGUGGAGAACUGUCUAAUAUUUUUUAAUUUGGUGAGUGAUGUGAACUUACCUGUAUCUGUGCUUUAAUAAUUCUGGUAACUGAGCAGAGUAGAUUGGAGAGGACAUUGCAGGGACUUAGGAGCUGAUGAUAGUAGUACAGGUAAGAGGUGAGGAGCUGGUUUUUUGCUGUGACACUGGGAAUGGACGGUUUAGCUUUUUGGGGAAGUUGGGAAAUAGAGUUGACAGGAUAUGUUUAUUAAUGUAUGAAAGGAGGAAGUCAGAGACAAAGAUGUCGUGAGAUUUCUAGGUUGGGAGAUAAAGGGAACCAUGAUAGAUUUAGGAAGAGGAAAGAGGAUGGAUUGUUGUAGGUGUGGGGAAAGAGGUGAUGUGUUUCUAGGUACACUGAGAUGGUGUUGAUUGCUUUAUAUCUCUCUAAAUAUUACCGUACUUACACAAGUCUUACCUUGCUUAGUGUUCUAUAAAUAUUGAAUCUCUGUGUUGGGUUCAGAGGCCUCAACCUGGAAAAAGUUCUGGGACAGGUAAGUGAUGUUCGCUAUGGUCAAAGGAAUGAGAGUUGGUAGCAUAUAGCACUUAGUGCCUGAUGUUUGCUAAGUACUGUUCUAGGUACGGGGGACAGGUAAGUGAUGUUCGCUAUGGUCAAAGGAAUGAGAGUUGGUAGCAUAUAGCACUUAGUGCCUGAUGUUUGCUAAGUACUGUUCUAGGUACGGGGAUACAACGGAGAACAAAACAAGUUAA